AAGGGAGACCUAAUUCAGGUAGGAGACGAAAAAAAAGUAGUCGCUACCAAGAAUCAAUCCCAAAAGGUCGGAGCGAGGCGAAAUUGGCUUUCAAACUAGGUUCUGGGUUCACACAAGACCUGAAUCAGGAACAAGGGCUAUUAGCUCAGGUGGUUAGAGCGCACCCCUGAUAAGGGUGAGGUCCCUGGUUCGAGUCCAGGAUGGCCCACCUGUACAGGUGGCAAAAAGAAAGAAAAGAAGCGAGGAAUCAGCACCUUAUCUUACUGACAUAGUAAGAGAGAAUGCUGGCUCUGGGUAAAGAGUCCAGAGGAACCUUGAAAACUGCAUAGAGCUAGGUGAAAAAGCCAAAAAAGAAGACCGCAA
rnacentral:tRNA from 1 species